GGCGGCGUAGCCAAGUGGUAAGGCAGCGGAUUGCAAAUCCGUCAUUCAGCGGUUCGAAUCCGCUCGCCGCCUCCA
rnacentral:tRNA from 1 species